rnacentral:rRNA from 1 species
GACAGAGGUGCCAAGCGUUAGGCGGAAUUACUGGGCGUAAAGCGUGCGCAGGCGGUUUUGUAAGUCUGUCGUGAAAUCCCCGGGCUCAACCUGGGAAUUGCGAUGGAGACUGCAAGGCUAGAAUCUGGCAGAGGGGGGUAGAAUUCCACGUGUGAGCAGUGAAAUGCGUAGAGAUGUGGAGGAACACCGAUGGCGAAGGCAGCCCCCUGGGUCAAGGAUUGGACGCUCAUGCACGAAAGCGUGGGGAGCAAACAGGAUUAAC